UACGUAGGCAGCGAGCGUUGUUCGGAAUUACUGGGCGUAAAGAGUGUGUAGGCGGUGCUCUAAGUUCGGCGUGAAAUCUCCUGGCUCAACUGGGAGGGUGCGCCGGAAACUGGAGUGCUUGAGCGUGGGAGAGGAAAGCGGAAUUCCUGGUGUAGCGGUGAAAUGCGUAGAUAUCAGGAGGAACACCUGUGGUGUAGACGGCUUUCUGGACCAUAGCUGACGCUGAGACACGAAAGCGUGGGUAGCAAACAGG
rnacentral:rRNA from 1 species